AACGAACGCUGGCGGCAGGCCUAACACAUGCAAGUCGAGCGAGGACUUCGGUUCUAGCGGCGGACGGGUGAGUAACGCGGGGGAAUGUGCCCUUCUCUACGGAAUAGCCCUGGGAAACUGGGAGUAAUACCGUAUACGCCCUAUUGGGGAAAGAUUUAUCGGAGAAGGAUCAGCCCGCGUUGGAUUAGGUAGUUGGUGGGGUAAUGGCCUACCAAGCCGACGAUCCAUAGCUGGUUUGAGAGGAUGAUCAGCCACACUGGGACUGAGACACGGCCCAGACUCCUACGGGAGGGAGCAGUGGGGAAUCUUAGACAAUGGGGGCAACCCUGAUCUAGCCAUGCCGGGUGAGUGAUGAAGGCCUUAGGGUUGUAAAGCUCUUUAAGCUGGGAAGAUAAUGACGGUACCAGCAGAAGAAGCCCCGGCUAACUACGUG
rnacentral:rRNA from 1 species